rnacentral:tRNA from 1 species
GUACCCGUAGCUCAGUCGGAUAGAGCGACUGCCUCCGGAGCAGUAGGCCGUGAGUUCGAAUCUCGCCGGGUACACCA